AUAUUGUUUUUUUUUAAAAAACCAAAGUUAUCUUUAAUCUUUUCCAUGCAGAAAAACCACCUACAAGGACUCCUCAAACUCACAAUAAAGAUAGACUGUUCUCAUAGGAACCUCGUCAACCAAGACCAACUCAUAACACAGGAGAGGAGACUGAGGUUUGACUCCGUGCCCAGACAGACUUCGUCAUAGGCUGUCACCUUUUCUUCUGAGGGCCCACUCAUCUUUCCCAGCAUCAAAUGAAGAAUCAUGAGGACUCAGACUCUCUUGGACAGAAAUCUUCGUCCCCGUGAAAUGCUGCCAUGUCGUCCUGAGAGACAAGAGAACCUCCUCCAAACCUGUUAAAAGCAUCACUGGUCCAAAAACUGAAAUGGAGAAGAGACUUGGGAUCUCAGGAACUUCGGUGCCCCACGUGGUUCAGCCAGUCUCUCAUGUUAUUCAGCAAGCACGCAGCAGAGAGCAUCCUGGCCACCAAGUUGCCAGAAACAAGUGAGAAGGAUCUUUUGAAAAUAGCCUUUUCUUCAACCUCUGUAGAAACAUCAGUCUUUGAUACAAGGUGGUCAGAAAACUCAGAAAAGAGUACUUCUGCCUGAGCCUCAGCAGAGAGGUCCCUUCCAGCAUUGCAAGUUCCAUAACAAGUUCCAUGGUGACCACCAAACUGGCAGCUUGGUCCUCACUUGUAGGAUGGAGAAGGCAGGAGAACACUUCAGAAGAUGGGCCAGCCUCUGUGGACUCACCAGGCGUGAUGGCAGGUGAGACAAAACCUCAGGGUAGUGUAUAUUCCAAUCAGAAGGUGCCGUGUGGUUUUGAAGGAUCCAUUAGAGGAGCUCUUGCUGCCACAGAAUCUAUCCAGCCACCUGCCAAACAUAUGGUACAACUGGGUCAUCUGAGAUGGGCCGAGAAACAUAUUGUCAUUUAUAUCCAAGGGUUUGGUGGCCAUAAGGACUGUACCAAGAGCUCAUCUGCCAUGGGGUUUCCCCGACUGUGGAGAGGAAGGUCUCACAUGCAUGUGGACACUUGGGAAUCAGGUGUUUGCUGCAGGGCCACUGGCUGGCAACGUGGUGCUGCUUUCCAGGAGAUUGACCCCAAGACCCACCAGCGCUGCAUUCUAAGGCCAGUACUAUGCCUUUGCUGAGCCCAAGAGAGAAUCCCCCAUGAGCUUUGGUAUAAGCAGCUUCUCUCUGCUCUUGCCCCACAGUUUCCAUUAGGAACCAUCUCAGAUCCAAGUGUCGUCCAUGUGGGAAACAGAAGGGCAGAGGCUGGGGGGCCCUCUCAAAUGGGAAAUGAGGAAGCCUCAGAGGAUAGAGGGGAGGCCCCAGCAUAUGAUCCCUCUCUUCCUUCUACCCACUGUAAAAGAAGAUCCUUUGUUAAUGGAUGAAACCUUAGUAGCCCCAAGGCUGCAGCUAAGCAAGACAUGGGAUGGGAGUACAAGGUCUAACAAAAACCCUGCUCGCUACUACUUUCCCCAGACUGAAGGCUAAACCCACGCAGGAUGGCUUGGUGAACCAUCUGCUGCCAGCCCCUUCAGAAUGGCCCUCCAUGUCCUCUCUGCUCUUUACACAUAAACAGGAGAGACUGCUGGGGUCCAGAGUUGCCCUUGAAGAGAGGGAUGGAAAAGUGGCUCAGACACGGGAAGGGGUGACCAAAAGAGAAAGCCUGGACUCCUCACCUGCCCCGUGGGACAUCAGUUCUCUCCAAGAGGAGCCCCUGGAUUUGGAAAGUGCUCAGGAAGGCAGGACUGAGCACCAGACUGCCCAGAACCCUCCACCUCCUGGCAGCAGCUAGGCCAAACUCUUGGGUUUGAAGAGUGAGAGUGCUGAGCACUGGGCUGCUCUCUGGCUUUGGAGCCGACCCACUGGGCCACAGAUAAUCCCUCAGCAGGUACUGUUGGAGACCAUACCCUUGUCCCAGCACCAGAGCUCCAGGAACACCAGGACAUGAGACAUAAAUCCACGGUGCUUCAUCUCUCUACUGGGGCACUGAAGAUCACGACCAUUCAUCUCAACCUCAGGUCUCAACCUCAGGUAUGGGCAAUGGCCAGUGGGAAGGCCUGGACACAAGGAGCUGGCAUUCUGUUAAGCAUGAAUGUGGAAAGGUUACCCAAGUGCAUAAGGCUGUUCUUGUGUUGCUAUAAAGAAAUACAUGUCUGGGCACAGUGGCUCACACCUGUAAUCCCAGCACUUUGGGAGGCUGAGACAGGAGGAUCUUCUGAGAACAGGAGUUCAAGACCAGCCUGGGCAACAUAGACUGUCUCUACAAAAAAUACAAAAAAGUUAGCCAAGCAUGGUGGCGCAUGCCUUUAGUCUCAGUUACUCAGGAGGCUGAGGCAGGAGAGGAUCACUUGAGCCCAGAAGUUCAAGGCUGCAGUGAGCUAUGAUUGUGCCACUGCACUCCAGCCUGGAUGACAGAGAGAGACACUGUCUCUUAAAAAACAAACAAAAACACUCCCUGUGCUAAACCUGCAUGUGAAAAGUCAGCUUUUUUUCUACAGAGAUGAACUAAGAAAUUACUUGAUGGAAAAGAAUCCUGAAUUUAAAAAAGACGCUGUGAAUGUCACGUAUGCUUCCUGGCUACACUCAAGUUCUCAAGGAAUGGAUGUGCCUGAUCCCCUGUCUUACCAGAUAAGGGCCCUCACUGAGGAUGCUCUAGGAACCCACAAGGUGAAGAAGAGGUGCCCCUUCCUUGAAGGAGUUGGAUUAUCCUUUAACUACCUGGGCCUGCUGAUUGGAGUUGCUGUGCUUACUGCAAUCUCGCAUAUGUUAGUAUUGGUCUUGUGUGACUCGUAACUAGAACGUACGUGAGGAAGGCAAAUUCUCUGGGUCAGAACACAGCAUCACUGGAGUGCCCACCUACAGCACCUACUUUUGAC